rnacentral:rRNA from 1 species
UACGUAGGUGGCAAGCGUUGUCCGGAUUUAUUGGGUUUAAAGGGUGCGUAGGCGGUCAAGUAAGUCAGCGGUGAAAUCCGGCAGCUCAACUGUCGAUGUGCCAUUGAUACUGCAUGACUUGAGUACUGAUGAGGUAGGCGGAAUUGACGGUGUAGCGGUGAAAUGCUUAGAUAUCGUCAAGAACACCGAUAGCGAAGGCAGCUUACUAAGCAGUAACUGACGCUGAUGCACGAAAGUGUGGGAUCAAACAGG